rnacentral:rRNA from 1 species
AUUUAUAAUAUAAAGAAUAAUGCCGGACAAUACGAACAAUGUUUAAAAUUCAAAGAACUUGGCGGUGCCUUAUCAGCACAGGGGAAUCUGUCUCUUAAUUCGAUAAUCCACGCAUACUUUACCUAAAAUUGAAUGUCAGCCUGUGUACUGCCGUCGCAAGUGCACCUCUGAGAGAAUAAAGUGCGCAAAAACGUUAGCUAUAACAACUAUGUCAGGUCAAAGUGCAGCCUAUAUUUAGGGGAAUGAUGGAUUACAAUCUUUAUAAAGAUACGCAAAUUUAAUCAAUAGAUUAAAUAAAAGGUGGACUUGUUAGUAAUUUAUUACAAUAUAUAUAAAUGAAAUAGAAUCU